AUAAAUCAUUAAGAAAACAUUAACAGCCUAUUGUGCUACUGUAAAUGCGUAAAAAUGUUUCAACUGUGCUUUGGAAUUACAGUUACGCACUGUUUGUAUGGCAAAAAAGAGUGCACAUUACAUCUAAAAGCACGAGAAAUAACAUCCAACACUUAUAGACAAAAAAAAAAGUACUUUAAUACAAUAAAGUAGGAAUACACAUGCUCGGACCCCUACAGAGAUCUAAGAAGAUAUAACAUAGCGUUAAUAUGCAAGUGUCCCUGUUUGAAAGCGCAUACAGGAGGGAUGGCUUGUUUUUAAGUAUUCAGAGAGCUCUCUCUCCCCCGUCCCUGUCUCGGGCGCACACCAUGGAAACUCUCCGGCCAUGUCUCCAGCUCUCUGAAAAGGUGAAACCAAUAAGAUUAAAUCGGACAAUGCAUUUUUCCCCCCUUUGGCGUAUCAUUAAGAUUUAACUCCGCACAUUUGGUAAAAGGAAAGGGGGUCCGCGGGAGGGAAGAAGAGGAGAGAGAAGAGAGGAGAAGAGUGAGAGGGGGAAGCGAAUAGGAAGCGGGCUAGAUGUGUUGGAGAGGCUCUGAUGGAAACCUGCGUGUGGAGAAAGUGGACGGGCGGGAUGUUGGAAGAGGAAGCAGCAGCAGCAGCAGCAGCAGCAGCAGCAGCUCCGGGAAACAGAAGUAGCGGCUUUGCAGCCAAAGAGAAGGCUCACGGCGCUGCAGCCGGAGGAGACGUCCGAGCAAAGCGUCGGGACACGCCGAAGAAGGACCGAGGUGGCGGAAUGGGAUUUCACUGAUGCUGUUUGAGUAUAGGGAGCGGAUGUCGCUGAUUAGUAGGAAAGGGGUUUAUAAUUGGAAGAAGUAUAGGAAAAAUAUUUACACAUGUUUAUGUUGUAUUUUUUUAUAUGUUUUUUAAUCAGGUUCGUUGAGUUUAAGAUGUGGAAUAGACUGUUGUUUUCUUUUCUGGGAACCUAACAUCAGCUUCUUUCAUAGUAGGGGAUCAAAGGAAGUGAUGUUGAUGACUUGUGUAGAUGUGGCACAGACCCCGGUGACAACAGAAAAAGAACCAGUGACUAAAUGAUAGUUUGGUUUAAGUUCUGGUUUAAUGUUUCCACCUAUUUUCCCUUCUGGUUGUAAACUGUGAAGUGGCAUGAUAUUGAAAGAGCACUAAUGUCCUUAAUUUAUUUUAGAAUAGUACCAAUCAGCAGCUUUUUCUGACAGAUCCCAAAUUCCAAUUUUCUUUGGGGUCCGAUUUCUCUUAUAAGCACUAUAACAGAUAACAAAGGAACAAUGUGUCAUUUGAUUGAGAUUGUAGUUUUGAAUUCCAUGGAAAUCUAAGCAUCAAAGCACAUGUAAUUUACCUUGGUGUGUUUCUGUAUAGGUCACAAAAGUUCAUCACAAUGCAGGCUGUAUGCUGACAUCUUUAUAGAGUGAAAAUGCUGCGAGUUUUUACUCCUAAUGAAUAUGAGUAGGAAAAUAAUCAAUUUCUUGUGUUAUUUUAAUGUUAUUUGAUCAUAGGAAGUCUUUAGUAGAAUGCUGUAAAUAUAUAUUAAACAACAUUAAAGUUAAAUUGAUCUUCCCAUUUGAUUUCAAGAUUUGCCCUCUUUGAAUCCUGUUACCAAUUUUACAUGCAUGUUGCUUUCACUAUGAAAAAUAUUGGAUUUCAUUCAAGCUUCAUGCCUAAAAAAUGAGUUAAGAUGUCCCAGGAUACAAAGUAAGAAAAUGUAGUUUGCUUUAUCUACAUGGCAAGAGGUCAUCCUCAGGAAAAAAACAAGCCGAGGAUGGACAUUAUCGAUGAUUUGUGCGGGCGAACGUCAGACGAUCUUGAAUCACGCAUGAAAGGAAAAGACAAGGCACUCACACUUUUCUGUGUUUAUUUGCGCCUUCGUUGCUUUUCUGCGCGCGCGUGGGAUAGCCGAGUCACUUUUUUUCCUCAUAUGUACCCUGUGACCUUCGACCCCGGAGCCGGGGUCAAACCCUGACAAACGAGAUGGCCGGGCUCCGACCAGAGCCGCAAACAUUCCUCAGCAAUCUCCUGUCCUCCUUCGCCUCCUCCUUACAUUACUCAGGCCUCUCGGUCCACCUCCUCUCUAGCUGUGACAGAGGCCGAUUAUGUUUUCUGGGGAGAAGACGAGGGGACCUACGGCUCAGACUAACAGUUAAAACUUUCAGUAAAAUGUAAUCUACCUCACAUGUGCCAUAAAAAAAAAAGAAAAGCAUCUGAGAUCUGAGAGAGGGAAGCUCUGCUAAAGAUUUGAAAUUUUACAACUCUGAACCCACUCCCUGUUUUCUUUCUCUCUCUCUUUCUCUUUCAGUGUGUGUGCGUGUGUGUGUGUGUGUGUGUGGAAAGCCUGUCAGUGAUGUCAAGGAUGAGAAAUGUUGCGUGGAGGUUUUUUACACACGCUGCUGGCUCUAGCAUUUCCGGCAACAUUUCUCACUCUGCCUCCCUCACACCAUCCGCUCUGCUGCAAUAUCCCCACAUUUUUCCAUCCUUUCCGUUCUCUUCUCUGCUCCCCCCCCCCCUCCUCACUUUCAAUCCCCACCUCAAACUUCCUCUCCCUGUGCCACAACACCACACUCAUCCUAAUCUCAGCCUUUUUCCCUUUCCUCUCUCUCUCUCUCUCUCUCUCUCUCUCUCUCUCUCUCUCUCUCCGCCCACCGCUCUCCCCGAUUUUCUCAUCACAGAAUGCAACCACCUGUGUCUUUAGCAUGAAUGUGAGGAGUUAUCGACAUUCCUCCUGGUCAAGUGCUAUAGGCCUAACUACCCUUUGCCAGUGCUCCAGCUACCAGCCACGGCCGUGACAACUCGCAGUUGCCCAAUUACGAACGUCAGCAGAGUGGCCAGUGUUAAAAGGACAUGCGGCGCAGAAAAGAUGGAGCGAGGGAUGCUGCUGCUGAACUUGUAUAGCAAUGCGAUGUCUGGAAAGCAAUGAAACGCAGCAAAUAAUCCUAAUAAAAAAAGGCUCCAUUAUAUAC